rnacentral:misc_RNA from 1 species
GAUGAAGAACGCAGCGAAAUGCGAUAAGUAAUGUGAAUUGCAGAAUUCAGUGAAUCAUCGAAUCUUUGAACGCACAUUGCGCCCGCCAGUAUUCUGGCGGGCAUGCCUGUUCGAGCGUCAUUUCAACCAUCAAGCCCCCGGCUUGUGUUGGGGACCUGCGGCUGCCGCAGGCCCUGAAAACCAGUGGCGGGCUCGCUAGUCACUCCGAGCGUAGUAAUACAUCUCGCUCAGGGCGUGCUGCGGGUUCCGGCCGUUAAAAAGCCUUAUUUACCCAAGGUUGACCUCGGAUCAGGUAGGGAUACCCGCUGAACUUAAGCAUAUCAAUAAGCGGAGGA